AGAAUAAUAAGUUAAUAAGUCCACCCGUACAAAGCCGGGAUGAGUGAUCUAGUAUCUAGUUAUAAAUAA